GAUGAACGCUGGCGGCGUGCCUAAUACAUGCAAGUCGAGCGAACGGACGAUAAGCUUGCUUCUCUGAUGUUAGCGGCGGACGGGUGAGUAACACGUGGAUAACCUACCUAUAAGACUGGGAUAACUUCGGGAAACCGGAGCUAAUACCGGAUGAUAUUUUGAACCGCAUGGUUCAAUAGUGAAAUACGGUCUUGCUGUCACUUAUAGAUGGAUCCGCGCUGCAUUAGCUAGUUGGUAAGGUAACGGGUUAUCAAGGCAACGAUGCCUAGCCGACCUGAGAGAGUGAUAGGCCACACGAGAACGGAGACACGGUCCAGACUCCUACGGGAGGGAGCAGUAGGGAAUCUUCCGCAAUGGGCGAAAGCCUGACGGAGCAACGCCGCGUGAGUGAUGAAGGUCUUCGGAUCGUAAAACUCUGUUAUUAGGGAAGAACAUAUGUGUAAGUAACUGUGCACAUCUUGACGGUACCUAAUCAGAAAGCCACGGCUAACUACGUG
rnacentral:rRNA from 1 species